rnacentral:tRNA from 1 species
GUGGGUGUAGCUCAGGGGUUAGAGCACCCGGUUGUGGCCCGGGAGGCCGCCGGUUCAAAUCCGGUCAUCCACCCCA